UAAUCAGAAUCUAAAUUUAAUACAAAUGAACUAAAAUAGUCUGGAGAAGAAUUGUGAAUGUGUACCUGUUUUACUGUUGUACUUAAUCGGAAGCAACUGAAUUAUUUAAAUUAUGGCAGGCACCGACGCCGAAGAACCCUUAAAUUUAUCGUUAACUGAAAAUAAUACGUGUUUGGGAUUUAACAGGACAAGGGCUACCAAUGGAUACGUCGACAUAGGAUAUAGCUGGGCAAUAAAUAUUGGAAUAUG